rnacentral:lncRNA from 1 species
AAUAAUCUAGUGAGAGAAGGAGGAAGAGAAAAGAGAAAUGGUGAAGGAGAAAACAUCAAGGUUUUAACAAAGAAUUUAGUAUUUCUUUUGAUGUCUUAAGGGGUACUUUUAAAGAAAAUAAAAUUAUUAAACAUGAUGAUUGUGACUUUGCCUGUUUUGUAUGCUUUUGUAUUUAUAGUUCAGAUAAGUCAAAUUGUCCU